CAGAAUAUAUGUCUCAGCCGCCUCCAGAGCCACUCCGUUACACCCUGUGUGCUGUUCUGUUGCGUUGUGGUGCCAGCUCUCAUGGAGGACACUAUUUUUGGCUUUGUUAAGCAAGAAAGAUGUGCAUCAUUCUUGAGGAUCUCCUCCUAAAAAUGAGGAACAAAGAACCAGAAAAAGAAACCAUGAUCCAGAAGGGAAGUGAGCACAAACCAGAAAAGAAAUGGAGAAAGACUGAAGAGGGAGAGAAGUAUAAAACCUGGGAAAGCCAAAAAGAAAAGGAAGCCUGAAGAUGAACAUCAAAUGUACUACAAGUAAGCAAAGGUUCCAGCAUCAUUAGCAAUUUUUAUUCUUUUCUGGGUGUUUCUCAUGUCUUCCUCUUUUUCAUUGUUUCUAACUUAGCUAUAGAAUGUCAUCUGCUUGGAGGUUGUGUCAUUAGAUUGAUGAAGUGAGGCUAGGAAAGAUACUGGUGAUCGGUGUUAGGACAUGAGAUUGGGUUCACAUCGUUAGAAUCACAUCUGCUCACCGUUCUUGAUGAGGUUGUGGCAAUUUUAUUCACUUGUACACAUUCCAGAUACAGACGCUGUUACUGAAAUAGUUUCUGAAUGAAAUACGAUUGUCAAAGAACAUGUUUGUGUUUUCAGACAUGGACAACCAGAAGUUUUAAUCUAAAACAAUUUGGGGGGAAGCUGAUUGUUCACAAAUUCUUGUGUAAACUUUGAUUCUGUAUGUAUCCCUUUCCUGAGAAAAAAUUAAGGACUGGACUGAGGACUUGAAAAUAUCACUGCUCUAAAUACAGACUUCACCAUACUCAUGACAAAAGCAUCCUGAUUGUACUUAAUUUUAAGCAUCUCUGCUGUAGCUGAUAAAUCAGGAGCAGCAUACAUCUGCUCUAGCACUCUUCCAUGAGUUUUCUGGCCAGCAGAUGGCAAACUCUUUUGGUUUUUCAAAACCAGGCAGAAGUGCAGCAGGAGAGUGGAAGUCUUGCAUCCCUUUGCAGCAGCCAGGGCAAUUCAGAUUAUUGGGCUGUCAGUGGAAGAGAUGUCCCUCGAGAAAUGUGACAGUAGUACUCCACAAGCAGGACGAGGGCUGUGCAAAGCAAUUGCAUUUUGUCAAGGAAGCUUAGUUGGUAUUUCUUGAUUAGUUCCUUCUUGGGGAGGUCAGUCGUGUAGAGGAAAGGAGAUUAAAAAAAAAAAAAGGGGGUCUCUUAAGCAGGACUGUCUGUGAUUUGAGGAAAAUCCGGAUUGGUGGGAGGAGCACUACGGCACUUCAUUUCCUGCACUCCUAUGUGUUCUCUCUAGCAAAUUUCUAAAAGCUUCUGCUUUUGUGGCUAUUACUGGGUCAGUUUGACUGCAAGAGCAUUCAUACAACAAGGAUGCUGUCCAAGCAAACCUUCAGGUGAGGUCUGCCAUUUACUGUUCAAGCAGGUAGUGUUGUCCUUCUGUUCUCUACAUUAGUUAGCAUAGCACUGAAAUACAGGCAUGUUUACUGUGAGGCUCUUGGAAGCCUUCUCAGUCAGCUCAGUCCCGGAUCACAGAUCAAGCUGUGUGCUUGAUAGCUAUCAACUCACUAUAAGGAGAGCCAACAAGGACAAGACUCAGUGUACUAAAAGAGCUCUCCAUCAAAUCCAGGCUUUAACCAUUGAAACCAACCACUCAACAUUAUCAAAAUCAGCAACUUUAUUAUUCUUUUGCUUAAUCAGUAAUUCCCUUUCACGGCACUGCAGGUUUUUUAGGUCUUUAAAGAAAUGUAAUCUUUAUUCAAUUAAGAAAUAAAAAUUAAUGGCCACUUUCAUCUCCCAGAUCACCCUCUUCCCACAGCAGCCAGGCAUCUGUCAGCUCUCCUUAGCACUCUCCUUUUGGACUGGUCUAGUGUGUAACACAGGAACUUCGUUGGCUAUUCUUGCAAGGAAUAGACUUUGCUGUGUUUUACCUGUGCACUCACUAGCUCCUGUUUGGGCUCAUCACUGCAUGACAAGUCUCAUCCGGAGCUGGAACUGGGGAGUGCAUGGCUCCAAAGGAGAACUUGAAGUUGUGCAGCAGAAGACUCAAGUCGUUACAUAGCAGCUGCAUCGUCAUGCUGCUUCGCAGACACCACGGACAACUUCAUUCGUUUCCAUAGAGCUUAAAUGGCUUCCAUUCAGCAAAGAUAUCCCACAGUGAUACUUAAUAAUAAGUAUCAGGAUUC
rnacentral:lncRNA from 7 species